GCCUACGGCCAUGCCACUCUGAACAAGCCCGAUCCUGUCUGAUCUCGGAAGCUAAGCAGGGUCAAGCCUGGUUAGUACUUGGGUAGGAGACCACCUAGGAAGACCAGGUGCUGUAGGUG
rnacentral:rRNA from 1 species